UGGGGAAUUUUGGACAAUGGGGGAAACCCUGAUCCAGCCAUCCCGCGUGUGCGAUGAAGGCCUUCGGGUUGUAAAGCACUUUUGGCAGGAAAGAAACGUCGCGGGUUAAUACCCCGCGAAACUGACGGUACCUGCAGAAUAAGCACCGGCUAACUACGUGCCAGCAGCCGCGGUAAUACGUAGGGUGCAAGCGUUAAUCGGAAUUACUGGGCGUAAAGCGUGCGCAGGCGGUUCGGAAAGAAAGAUGUGAAAUCCCCAGGAGUCAUUAACUUUUGGGAACUGCAUUUUUAACUACCGGGCUAGAGUGUGUCAGAGGGAGGUGGAAUUCCGCGUGUAGCAGUGAAAUGCGUAGAUAUGCGGAGGAACACCGAUGGCGAAGGCAGCCUCCUGGGAUAACACUGACGCUCAUGCACGAAAGCGUGGGGAGCAAACAGGAUUAGAUACCCUGGUAGUCCACGCCCUAAACGAUGUCAACUAGCUGUUGGGGCCUUCGGGCCUUGGUAGCGCAGCUAACGCGUGAAGUUGACCGCCUGGGGAGUACGGUCGCAAGAUU
rnacentral:rRNA from 1 species